UGGGGAAUAUUGGACAAUGGGGGAAACCCUGAUCCAGCGACGCCGCGUGGGUGAAGAAGGCCUGCGGGUUGUAAAGCCCUUUCGGUUGGGAAGAAAAGUUGCGACCUAACACGUCGCGACCUUGACGUAACCAACUAAAGAAGCACCGGCUAACUCUGUGCCAGCAGCCGCGGUAAUACAGAGGGUGCGAGCGGUAAUCGGAAUUACUGGGCGUAAAGCGCGCGUAGGCGGCUUGGCAAGUCGGGUGUCAAAUCCCCGGGCUUAACCUGGGAACUGCGUUUGUGACUGCAAGGCGGGAGUACGGCAGAGGGGGGUGGAAUUCCACGUGUAGCAGUGAAAUGCGUAGAGAUGUGGAGGAACACCGAUGGCGAAGGCAGCCCCCUGGGCCUGUACUGACGCUCAUGCACGAAAGCGUGGGGAGCAAACA
rnacentral:rRNA from 1 species